rnacentral:rRNA from 1 species
AUGGCGUCGCCUCCACCGCCGGCUCCCGCCGCCGCGGCCGCCCACAGCGUGUUCGUCUACGGCACCCUGAUGGCGGAGGAGGUCGUGCGCGUCCUCCUCGGCCGCGUCCCGCCGUCCUCCCCCGCGCUCCUCCCCAACCACCAGAGGCUCAGCAUCAGGGGCCGCGUCUACCCGGCGAUCCUGCCCGUCGACGGCAGCAAAGUCCCCGGGAAGGUUUGGAAGGGGAUCACUGACAGGGAGCUCGAUGUGCUGGACAUCUUUGAGGAUGAGCAGUAUGUCAGGGAAACUGUUGGUAUCUCGCUGACCGAUUCAGCGGACACAAUGAUCGCCUAUACAUACAUAUGGGGGAAUGUGGAUGAUCCUGACCUCUAUGGUGAAUGGGAUUUUGAUGAAUGGAAGAAAGUGCAUCUGAAGGACUAUUUCACAAUGACACAAGAUUUCAAGGAGGAACUGGAACAGCUUGAAUCUGAGACACAUGAUUGA